UUGGGGAUGGCUCAGUGGUUAAGAGUACUGGACGUUCUUCUAAAAGUCCUAGGUUCAAUUCCUAGCACCCAUA
rnacentral:tRNA from 1 species